GACGUAGGGCGCGAGCGUUGUCCGGAUUUAUUGGGCGUAAAGAGCUCGUAGGCGGCUUGUCGCGUCGACUGUGAAAUCCCGCGGCUCAACUGCGGGUCUGCAGUCGAUACGGGCAGGCUAGAGUUCGGUAGGGGAGACUGGAAUUCCUGGUGUAGCGGUGAAAUGACGCAGAUAUCAGGAGGAACACCGGUGGCGAAGGCGGGUCUCUGGGCCGAAUACUGACGCUGGAGGAGCGAA
rnacentral:rRNA from 1 species